rnacentral:rRNA from 1 species
UACGUAGGUGACAAGCGUUAUCCGGAUUUAUUGGGCGUAAAGCGCACGCAGGCGGCCAUUCAAGUCUGACGUGAAAUCUCUCGGCUUAACCGGGAGCGGUCGUUGGAAACUGAGUGGCUUGAGGCGAUGAGAGGGGUGUGGAAUUCCCGGUGUAGUGGUGGAAUGCGUAGAUAUCGGGGGGAACAUCAGUGGCGAAAGCGGCACCCUGGCAUUAGCCUGACGCUCAUGUGCGAAAGCGUGGGGAGCGAACGGG